rnacentral:tRNA from 1 species
AAGGCUUUAAGUUAAUUUAAACUAAUAACCUUCAAAGCUAUAAAUAUAAGAAAUAUCUUUUAAGUCUUA